rnacentral:rRNA from 1 species
GACGAACGCUGGCGGCGUGCUUAACACAUGCAAGUCGAACGGAAAGGCCCUGCUUUUGUGGGGUGCUCGAGUGGCGAACGGGGGAGUAACACGUGUGUAACCUGCCCUUGACUUUGGGAUAAAUUCAGGAAACUGGGGCUAAUACCGGAUAGGAUCUCCUGCUGCAUGGGGGGGGUUGGAAAGUUUCGGCGGUUGGGGAUGGACUCGCUGCUUAUCCGCUUGUUAGUGGGGUAGGUGCGUACCAAGGCUUCGACGGGUAGCCGGCCUGGGAGGGUGGCCGGCCACCAUGGGACUGAGAUACGGCCCAGACGCCUACGGGAGGCAGCAGUGGAGAGUAUUGCACAAUGGGCGGAAGCCUGAUGCAGCAGCGCUGCGUGCGGGAUGACGGCCUUCGGGUUGUAAACCGCUUUCGACUGUGACGAAGCGUGAGUGACGGUAAUGGGUAAAGAAGCACCGGCUAACUACGUG